UGGGGAAUUGUUCACAAUGGGCGCAAGCCUGACCCAGCCACGCCGCGUGAGUGAUGAAGGCCUUCGGGUCGUAAAGCUCUGUGGGGAAGGACGAAAAAACAUUGGCUAAUAUCCAAUGGCUUGACGGUACUUCCUUAGCAAGCACCGGCUAACUCUGUGCCAGCAGCCGCGGUAAUACAGAGGGUGCGAGCGUUAAUCGGAGUGACUGGGCGUAAAGGGCAUGUAGGCGGUUAUAUUAGUCUGAUGUAAAAGACCCGGGCUUAACCUGGGAUAUGCAUUGGAAACGGUAUAGCUAGAGUAUGGGAGAGGGAAGUGGAAUUUCCGGUGUAGCGGUGAAAUGCGUAGAGAUCGGAAAGAACACUCGUGGCGAAGGCGGCUUUCUGGCCCAUAACUGACGCUGAGGUGCGAAAGCAUGGGGAGCAAACAGGAUUAGAUACCCCCGUAGUCCCUGAGCGGGCUGGCAAGGCGCAU
rnacentral:rRNA from 1 species